GUGCUUGCUUCAGCACAUAUACUAAAAUCUGAGUGAUACAGAGAAGAUUAGCGUGGCCCCUGCGCAAGGAUGACAUGCAGAUUCUUGAAGCUUUCCAUAGUUUU